CCAGUAGAGUUUGAUCCUGGCUCAGCCACAAAGUCGUAACAAGGUAGCCGUAGCUAGAGUUUGAUCCUGGCUCAGAUUGAACGCUGGCGGCAUGCCUUACACAUGCAAGUCGAACGGCAGCACGGGUGCUUGCACCUGGUGGCGAGUGGCGAACGGGUGAGUAAUACAUCGGAACAUGUCCUGUAGUGGGGGAUAGCCCGGCGAAAGCCGGAUUAAUACCGCAUACGAUCUACGGAUGAAAGCGGGGGACCUUCGGGCCUCGCGCUAUAGGGUUGGCCGAUGGCUGAUUAGCUAGUUGGUGGGGUAAAGGCCUACCAAGGCGACGAUCAGUAGCUGGUCUGAGAGGACGACCAGCCACACUGGGACUGAGACACGGCCCAGACUCCUACGGGAGGCAGCAGUGGGGAAUUUUGGACAAUGGGCGAAAGCCUGAUCCAGCAAUGCCGCGUGUGUGAAGAAGGCCUUCGGGUUGUAAAGCACUUUUGUCCGGAAAGAAAUCCUUGGUUCUAAUAUAGCCGGGGGAUGACGGUACCGGAAGAAUAAGCACCGGCUAACUACGUGCCAGCAGCCGCGGUAAUACGUAGGGUGCGAGCGUUAAUCGGAAUUACUGGGCGUAAAGCGUGCGCAGGCGGUUUGCUAAGACCGAUGUGAAAUCCCCGGGCUCAACCUGGGAACUGCAUUGGUGACUGGCAGGCUAGAGUAUGGCAGAGGGGGGUAGAA
rnacentral:rRNA from 1 species